GCUUCUGACACCGGUAACUGCCUCUGUGCAUGACGCACAUGUGCAGACGAUGCUCGCCGCCAUGCAACAGCAGCCAGGAUACAAGCUUUGCCCUGGAGUUGUGGUUGUCUGUGUACGCGAGCUCGCUGCCCAGCAACGACGGAAGGAUAAUUUGGUGAAAUGUCAUCACCGAUGGUAAAGCAGUCCAUUUUCCUAAGCGACUGGUUGUCCUUCUCUAUAUAAGUUCCGGGACAGGGUGGCAGCCAAUUCAGGCGAAUCCACACGAGACAAAUGAAAGAUUCUCCCGGCGCCUCCUCAAAGGUCUUGACAGCUUUUCCAGGAACCGCCAAGAGACAUAUAUUUUUAUAAAAAGGCCUCUGUUUUUUGGUUUACUGUAUUAACAAUCAG